rnacentral:lncRNA from 1 species
UACAUAGAGCAAUUUGCUAUUUUAUUUUCUAUUAACCGUCCUUAGAGCAAGUGGUAAAGGACUUGGUGGUUGGUACCUGAGACUCAAGUUCGAAUCCUAGUUGAUUCACAUUUUCAGUUAAGUUUAUUUCUAAAUGAAAUAAACGAAGCGAGUAGCGUUCUACCUAUCUCUCUUAAAAAAAAUAAAAAAUAAAAGACCUCAAUAGAAUUGGC